CUUCUGUUAUGAUUGUAAGUUUCCUGAGGCCUCCCCAGCCAUGCAGAACUAUGAGUCAAUUAAACCCCUUUUCUUUAUAAAUUACCAAGUCUUGGUUAUUUCUUCAUAGCAGCAUGAGAAUAGACUAACACAUAAUGAAAUCUGGCUGGGUGCAGUGGCUCAUGCCUGUAAUUCCAGCACUUUGGGAGGCUGAAGUGGGCAGAUCACCUAAGGUCAGGAUUUCAAGUCCAGCCUGGUCAACAUGUCCAAACCUUGUCUCUAUUGAAAAUACAAAAUUAGGAUCGGGUCAGGAGAGAAUGGCGCGCAGGCACCGUAAUCCCAGCUACUCAGGAGACUGAGGCAGGAGAAUUUCUUGAACCCGGGAGGUGGAGGUUGCAGCGAACCAAUGUUGUGCCACUGCACUCCAGCCUGGGUGACAGACUGAGACUCCAUCUUAAAACAACAACAAAAAAAAGAAAUCUAAUUUAUCAAUUAAGAUUAUCUUAAUUUCUGCAGCACUGCAAACAUUGACAGAGAAGGAAAUAUGGAUCUGGCAAGAAUUAUAUUCUUCUUCUUUUUUUUUUUUUGAGAUGGAGUCUCACUCUGUCACCCAGGCAGGAGUGCAGUGGCGCGAUCUCAGCUCACUGCAACCUCUGCCUCCUAGGUUCAAGCAAUUCUCUGCCUCAGCCUCACCAGGAGCUGGGAUUACAGGCACCCGCCACCACACCUGGCUAAUUUGUGUAUUUUUAGUAGAGACGGGUUUCACUGUCUUGGCCAGGCUGGUCUUGAACUCCUGACUUCAUGAUCCACCAGCCUCAGCCUCCCAAAGUGCUGGAAUUACAAGCGUGAGCCCCGUGCCUGGCCUACUUCUUUUAUUUAAAAGUAAAAUAAGGCAAAUUCAGAAGAGGAGCUCUGUAUUAGUGAAGAUUCUCUGGAGAAAUAGAACCAAUUUUACAUAUAGCCAUGUAUCAUUUAAUGAUGGGGAAAUGUUCUGAGAAAUGUGUUACUGGGGGCUUCAUCAUUGUGUGAACAUCAUAGAGUGUAUUUACACAAACCUAGAUGAUACAGCUACUACACAACUACACACCUAGGCUGUACAGUAUAGCCUAUUGCUCCUAGGCUACACACUCAUGUGGCACAUUACUGGACCGAAUGGCACGGGCAAUUGGAGCACAAUGGUAAGUAUUUGUGUAUCUAAACAUAGAAGAGGUACAGUAAAAACAUGGUGUUAUAAUCUUAUGGGAUAACCACCAUGUAUACAGGCUGUCAUUGACUGAAAUAUCUAUAUGUAGCACUUGACUGUAUACAAAUGCAUAUAAAGCCUAUAUGUAUAUAAAUGUCUACAUAUAAAUAAAGAGAGAGAUUUAUUAUUUUUAUAGGAAUUGGCUCAUGGAGGCUUAUGGAGGCUGAGAAACCUCACCAUCUGUCUGCAAGCAGGAGAACCAGGGAAGUCAGUGGUAUAAUUCAAUCCAAGUUUAAAGGCCUGAAACCAGAAGCUGUGGAUGUCCCAGCUCAUGGACAGAAAAGGGAUUCUCUACCCUCUACAUUUUGUUCGAUGGGGGCCCUCAAUGGAUUGAGUGACACCUGCCAAAACUGGUGGGAGAGGAUCUUCUUUACUAGGUCUACUGAUUCAAAGGCUAACCACUUCUGGAAACACUCUUACAGAAACAGCCACGGGUAAUGUUUCAUUACCCAUCUGGGCAUCCCUUUAGCUCAGUCAAGUUGACACAUAAACUUAACCAUCACAAGCUGCUAUUUCCAGGACUGUUCCCAAUGUGUUGUUAAACAAAGAGCAGCCAGUUGAAUUGACCACAACCCUGGCUAUGCAUAUCACUUAAGAGGCUUGUAAAAAGUAAAGACGCCAUGAAUUUUACAUUACGUGAAUUUUACCUCAAUAAAAAGGAGCCUAUGGCAUACAUAAGGGGGAGUAGGGGGAAAAUUAAAAAAAAAAAAA
ensembl:lncRNA